ensembl:lncRNA
UGAUGUCAGUGGCCCGACAGGGAAGCGUUGCAUGUUUGCACACAUGAUGGGUGAGGCUAAUGUCAGCCUGCUGACUGCCAACAUCUUCAGAUGUGGAUCAGAUGCAGAGCGCUCCAACAGCAUCUAUAAUGCAUCACAUCUGUUUUCCUCAUGCCAAGCACACUUCUCGGAGCUGGAACACUCGCCGUGUUUGACUGUGACAUGAGACCAGAGAUGAGAAGUGUUUGCUUUCUCGAGAUCAUAAGAUGAGUGCUUCCUUCAUCAUGACAAGAGGAGAAGAGAUGCUCCCAUCUCCUCUUUGAAAUAUUCUCUCCAUCCGUGUGCAUAAAUAGGUCAAGAUCUGGAGGAGAACAUUUCCUAGAAACACCUAAAACUCUCAUGAAAACUGCUCACGAGAGCCUUGAAGUCAGAGCCAACACGAAGAGCACUUCUGACCGAGAACAAGAGCCAACAAACCUGACUCUCUGCUGCAGAUGGAUGGUGAUGAUAGCAGACACACUGACCCUUGAUUGACUCGGUCACACUGGCUCAGGAGUCACGUGAUCGGCCCGAGAACAGGACCUUCUGAAGCAGAGCUGACCGCUGCUGGAGGUGCUGUGUGUGUGUUUGGUCUGUGGUUCACCUCUGAACAUCCACACAGACUCAACAACACAUGCAAAUGAGUGUGUGUGUGUGUGUGUGUGUGUGUGUGUGUGUGUGUGUGUGUGUGUGUGUGUUUAAUGAGACGUACCGUGGCUGACCUGUGUGGGAAGACAUGGAUCAGUGUCCAGAACAGACACGGACAGCAAUGGCAUCCCUGAGAUUGUGACACGUCAGCCCUGUUUAUGUCACGUAAGAUGAUUUUACAGCAACAGUUUAUCUAAAGCAGAAACUCUUCAGCAUGUCUGUAGUCAAGAGCCUUUUGAUAUUUGGAUCAUCACUACUUUCUUGUUAUCAGAUCACUUUUAAUGAUGUAAUUGUUGACCAAUAUUUUAAUGAAGGCACACUGAAGAAACAAUAUACUUGGUAUUGGGCACACAUGAUGUCUAUUCUGACUUAUGCAUUACAGGAGAGCUGGGCAAAAAGUCACUUUCCCUGCUUUUGAUUCUGGUUAAGUGUAAGUGAUAAAUAUAAUGGUUAUUGCUUGAAAACAUCACAAUCUCACAAAUACAAUUAUAAAAUUAGAAAUACUACAUUUUGAUACACGCAAAUCUUGCAUAAACAACAUGUAUAAGUUAGUAUGAUUUCUUUAGUGAGCAUGUUCUGUAGGUUAACACAGAGCAUAGAGUCUUUCUAAAGGGUUUCCAGUCUCUUCAGUGAAUCUGUGCAGUGCUGUGUUAAACAUGGACAUGGAAACAGCAGCGCUGUCUGGAGGCACUGGACACACUACACGAGGAGGAAUAUCAAGACUUUAUGAGAGAAAGGGAAAACCGGACAGUCUGAGGAAGGACUGCAGGGAAUGCUGGGCAAGAUUACAGACGCAUAUGUGUGAGAGCUGAGAGCAGAUGACAGAUCUACUGACCCCGUCAGGACCCUAUCAGACCACAUUAGACCACAUCAGCACUGAGCAGAGCUGGAUGGAUUCAGAGCUCCUCUAUGUGCUGCUAUCGGCCGACUCUCUCCUGAACCUCAUCAGUUAGAUUCUGCUUUGAAAAGCAGGAUAAUCACUCUCCAUCUUUCUCACUUAUUCCUAUAAUGCACCAUUUAUCGCUGUGACUUAAGUAAGGAGAUUACAAUGGCAACUGCAAGACUGGCAUCUAAACGAGUUAAUUUAAUCUGAAAAUGCUGCCCAGAGUAAAGUCAAUAUUAAAAACACCACAGACGUGAGCUGGUCAAACAGUGACAGUGUUAUCAGCUCCUGAUGCCACUGAGGAC